UACGAAGGGGGCUAGCGUUGCUCGGAAUCACUGGGCGUAAAGGGUGCGUAGGCGGGUCUUUAAGUCAGGGGUGAAAUCCUGGAGCUCAACUCCAGAACUGCCUUUGAUACUGAAGAUCUUGAGUUCGGGAGAGGUGAGUGGAACUGCGAGUGUAGAGGUGAAAUUCGUAGAUAUUCGCAAGAACACCAGUGGCGAAGGCGGCUCACUGGCCCGAUACUGACGCUGAGGCACGAAAGCGUGGGAGCAAACGGGG
rnacentral:rRNA from 1 species